CGCGUAGGCGGUGGGUUACGUCUGCCGUGAAAUCCCCGGGCUCAACCUGGGAAUGGCGGUGGAAACGGGCUGACUAGAGUAUGGGAGAGGGUAAUGGAAUUCCAGGUGUAGCGGUGAAAUGCGUAGAGAUCUGGAGGAACAUCAGUGGCGAAGGCGGUCACCUGGCCCAAUACUGACGCUGAGGCGCGAAAGCGUGGGGAGCAAACA
rnacentral:rRNA from 1 species